rnacentral:rRNA from 1 species
GACGAACGCUGGCGGCGUGCUUAACACAUGCAAGUCGAACGGAAAGGCCCUGCUUUUGUGGGGUGCUCGAGUGGCGAACGGGUGAGUAACACGUGAGUAACCUGCCCUUGACUUUGGGAUAACUUCAGGAAACUGGGGCUAAUACCGGAUAGGAGCUCCUGCUGCAUGGUGGGGGUUGGAAAGUUUCGGCGGUUGGGGAUGGACUCGCGGCUUAUCAGCUUGUUGGUGGGGUAGUGGCUUACCAAGGCUUUGACGGGUAGCCGGCCUGAGAGGGUGACCGGCCACAUUGGGACUGAGAUACGGCCCAGACUCCUACGGGAGGCAGCAGUGGGGAAUAUUGCACAAUGGGCGGAAGCCUGAUGCAGCAACGCCGCGUGCGGGAUGACGGCCUUCGGGUUGUAAACCGCUUUCGCCUGUGACGAAGCGUGAGUGACGGUAAUGGGUAAAGAAGCACCGGCUAACUACGUGCCAGCAGCCGCGGUGGUACGUAGGGUGCGAGCGUUGUCCGGAUUUAUUGGGCGUAAAGGGCUCGUAGGUGGUUGAUCGCGUCGGAAGUGUAAUCUUGGGACUUAACCCUGAGCGUGCUUUCGAUACGGGUUGACUUGAGGAAGGUAGGGGAGAAUGGAAUUCCUGGUGGAGCGGUGGAAUGCGCAGAUAUCAGGAGGAACACCAGUGGCGAAGGCGGUUCUCUGGGCCUUUCCUGACGCUGAGGAGCGAAAGCGUGGGGAGCGAACAGGCUUAGAUACCCUGGUAGUCCACGCUGUAAACGGUGGGUACUAGGUGUGGGGUCCAUUCCACGGGUUCCGUGCCGUAGCUAACGCUUUAAGUACCCCGCCUGGGGAGUACGGCCGCAAGGCUAAAACUCAAAGGAAUUGACGGGGCCCCGCACAAGCGGCGGAGCAUGCGGAUUAAUUCGAUGCAACGCGUAGAACCUUACCUGGGUUUGACAUGGAUCGGGAGUGCUCAGAGAUGGGUGUGCCUCUUUUGGGGUCGGUUCACAGGUGGUGCAUGGCUGUCGUCAGCUCGUGUCGUGAGAUGUUGGGUUAAGUCCCGCAACGAGCGCAACCCUUGUUCACUGUUGCCAGCACGUUAUGGUGGGGACUCAGUGGAGACCGCCGGGGUCAACUCGGAGGAAGGUGGGGAUGACGUCAAGUCAUCAUGCCCCUUAUGUCCAGGGCUUCACGCAUGCUACAAUGGCUGGUACAGAGAGUGGCGAGCCUGUGAGGGUGAGCGAAUCUCGGAAAGCCGGUCUCAGUUCGGAUUGGGGUCUGCAACUCGACCUCAUGAAGUCGGAGUCGCUAGUAAUCGCAGAUCAGCAACGCUGCGGUGAAUACGUUCCCGGGGCU